rnacentral:lncRNA from 1 species
AAAAUUUUAAUUAAAAAAUUAAUUAUUUAUAUCAGCUCGUAAUCUUUUUAUGCAUAUAAAAGAAUUUCAAUAAUUUUUUUCUCAUUCCAUAAUAAUUGAGUCCAAAGUAACAUGGUAAAUUGAAAGAAAUACUUCCUUGAUUAUAUUUGUAGAUGCCAUUCUUUUAAGUAGAAUUGAAAAGAAAAUUUAAUUAGAAGAUUGUUUGCUCAUAUGAUCUCAUAAUUUUUGUACAAGGAGCAUAAUUCAUAAUUUAAGUUUCUUCCUUUUAAUUAAACAUCCAAGCAAUUCAAAGAAAUUAUUUUUCAUUUAUUUCCUUCUCUUCCUUUCCUUCACAGCUCUUAACAAAAAGUAAUUUCAGCAUUUCAUCAUGUUUUAGCUAAAUAAGAUACUUAAAACAUUUAACAAAAAAUAAAUAAAUAAAUACUAAAAUAAAUUAUUUAGGUAUAUAUUAGCUAAAAGGUGAUGAAUCAUAAAUUAACUUCAAAAGUUUUAUACAUCACCACUACUAAACUAUAUGCAAUACAUCUCAGUUAGGCAUAAAGCAAGAUCAUGAUGAUGGGGUAAACAAUUUGUGGACAACCCUAUAAAUUGUCAAACUAAUCGAAUAGUAAGAACAUAAUAAACUUAAAAUGUUCAAUUUACAGAUGUCAAGUGCUUUUCUUGGGGUCUGUUCACAAGAAUCCUAUUCACAAAGCUACUACAGAAGUAGAGAAAACUAAUGAAAGGGUAUUAAACUGAAUGAAAUCAUCAGUAAUUCCAUCUUCAGUCUAUUCAAUCUCAAGAAUGUUGUCAAAAAGGUCCUUCUGCAGGUUAGAAAAAGAAGGAUAGGGUUCCUUGCUCAUAUAACCAGCAAAAGAAUUUAGAAUUUGAAGCCACUUGCCAAGACAUCAGGCAACUGAACGAAUGAGGAUCGAGUCAAUCAAAGAUUAAAAAAAAAAAUUUUAAAAAAAGCCAAAACAAUUUUGAGGUAUAAAAAGACUACAUAAUUAAAACAUCAUUUGCGUAAGUUGAAAAGAGAUGAAAUAUAUAGAGAAAGCUAUAUGUAUCCUAAACCAAGAUNN